GGGUAGUUAACUUCGGAAUUCGGUUCUUAAGUGAACAGAAAAUGAGAAAUAUCAUUUUCGAAUUCUGCGGAAGGUCCGCCCACUAUAAAAUGUCACUUUUCGAAAGAAUUGUUGUCGUGAGGCAAGGCUCUGUUACAGAAACGCCACAGUUACUUUAGAGCUAUGAAACUUUGUGUGAAGCUAAGAAAAAGUAGAUUUGAUGAAACGAACAUCCUGACAAGUGCAAGGCUUAGAGCUGCUUAGUUAAAUGUUAACACGUUCGGUUCGAAUACGACGAACGACAGAAGGUGGCCUAUUCCC
rnacentral:RNase_P_RNA from 1 species